AAUAGAUACCCGGGUAGUCCAUGCCGUAAACGUUGGGCGCUAGAUGUGGGGACCAUUCCACGGUUUCCGUGUCGCAGCUAACGCAUUAAGCGCCCCGCCUGGGGAGUACGGCCGCAAGGCUAAAACUCAAAGGAAUUGACGGGGGCCCGCACAAGCGGCGGAGCAUGCGGAUUAAUUCGAUGCAACGCGAAGAACCUUACCAAGGCUUGACAUAUACGAGAACGCUCUAGAAAUAGAGAACUCUUUGGACACUCGUAUACAGGUGGUGCAUGGUUGUCGUCAGCUCGUGUCGUGAGAUGUUGGGUUAAGUCCCGCAACGAGCGCAACCCUCGUUCUAUGUUGCCAGCGGUUCGGCCGGGAACUCAUAGGAGACUGCCGGGGUCAACUCGGAGGAAGGUGGGGAUGACGUCAAAUCAUCAUGCCCCUUAUGUCUUGGGCUUCACGCAUGCUACAAUGGCCGGUACAAAGGGCUGCAAUACCGUAAGGUGGAGCGAAUCCCGAAAAAGCCGGUCUCAGUUCGGAUUGAGGU
rnacentral:rRNA from 1 species